GCGAUGCGGAUCUCACCUUAGCUAUCGGCGUGGAGAAGCUCUACGACCGGGAGCAACCCCCAAGCCUUCCGGCGGAAAUUGCGGGGGGAUUUGAUUGCACGGACCCGUUGGAUCUGAUCGAAAACCACCAGCGACUGGGUGAAAGCGUCGGGAUGCCAUUUGGGUUAAGCAUCGGUCGACUGAUGGCGAUUGAUACGUACGCAAUCCAAGCAAACUAUCAUAUGAAGAAGUUCAAGACGACUGCCGAACAAAUUGCAAUUGGCGCAGCCAAGAAUUACAGCAACGGUGCCCUGAAUCCAAAGGCACAGUAUCGCUUGGGAAUGUCGCCGGAAUCAGUUCUCGCCGAUCGGAUCGUGAGCGCGCCGCUAACGAGAGCAAUGUGCGCUCCAAUUGGAGAUGGCGCUGCUGCUGCGAUUGUAUGCUCAGAGCGGUACUUAAGAACGGUUUCGGCGUCAG
rnacentral:misc_RNA from 1 species